rnacentral:rRNA from 1 species
UUCGCAAUGCCCGAAAGGGUGACGAAGCGACGCCGCGUGCGGGAAGAAGGCCUUCGGGUUGUAAACCGCUGUCGGGAGUUAAGAAAUGCAAGGAUGCUAAUAGCGUCUUUGCUUGACUAAGGCUCCGGAGGAAGCCACGGCUAACUCUGUGCCAGCAGCCGCGGUAAUACAGAGGCGGCAAGCGUUGUUCGGUAUUAUUGGGCGUAAAGAGCACGUAGGCGGCCGUGUAAGUCGGUUGUGAAAGCCUUCCGCUCAACGGGAGAACGGCAUCCGAUACUGCAUGGCUCGAGUGCGGGAGGGGAGAGUGGAACUUCUGGUGGAGCGGUGAAAUGCGUAGAUAUCAGAAGGAACACCGGCGGCGAAGGCGACUCUCUGGCCCGUAACUGACGCUGAGUGUGCGAAAGCUAGGGGAGCAAACGGGAUUAGAUACCCCGGUAGUCCUAGCCGUAAACGAUGGGCACUAAGUAGAGGGGUUUU